CAAUAGCGUAUAUUUAAGUUGCUGCAGUUAAAAAGCUCGUAGUUGGAUUUCGGGUGGGAAUGGCCGGUCCGCCGUUUCGGUGUGCACUUGCUACGCCCACCUUGCUGCCGGGGACGUGCUCUUGAGGUCACGCUCGGGACACGGAGUCGGCGAGGUUACUUUGAGUAAAUUAGAGUGUUCAAAGCAGGCCUACGCUCUGAAUACAUUAGCAUGGAAUAACACGAUAGGACUCUGGCCUAUCUUGUUGGUCUGUAGGACCGGAGUAAUGAUUAAGAGGGACAGUCGGGGGCAUUCGUAUUUCAUUGUCAGAGGUGAAAUUCUUGGAUUUAUGAAAGACGAACUACUGCGAAAGCAUUUGCCAAGGAUGUUUUCAUUAA
rnacentral:rRNA from 1 species